ACCGAAUUGUCAACACGAGUUGUUGCUGGUCCUCAAAUGGGGGCAUGUGCACACUCUGUUUGCACAUCCACUCACACCUGUGCACCCUCCAUAGUUCUGCAGCCUGGGGGCUCUGUCCCCCCUGCUGUGGCUCUAUGUAUUUACACACACACACUGUGAUAAAGUCUUAUGGAAUGUAUGCCGCGUUUAACGCAAUACAAUAC
rnacentral:misc_RNA from 1 species